rnacentral:rRNA from 1 species
UGCCAGCCGCCGCGGUAAUACGGAGGGUGCAAGCGUUACUCGGAAUCACUGGGCGUAAAGCGCGCGCAGGCGGGCUAAUAAGUUGGAUGUGAAAGCCUAUGGCUCAACCAUAGAACUGCAUUCAAAACUGUUAGUCUAGAGUCUGGGAGGGGAAGAUGGAAUUAGUUGUGUAGGGGUAAAAUCCGUAGAGAUAACUAGGAAUACCAAAAGCGAAGGCGAUCUCCUGGAACAGUACUGACGCUGAGGCGCGAAAGCGUGGGGAGCAAACAGGAUUAGAUA